rnacentral:ncRNA from 1 species
UUGACUGGGCGGUACACUGUCAAACGGUAACGCCAGGUGUCCUAAGAGAGUCUCAGGGAGGCCAGAAAGUCCGCUGGAGCAGGAGGGGCAACAAAGCUCGCUUGAUCUUGAUUUCAGUACGAAUGACAGACGUGAAAGCGGGGGGCUCCACGAUCCUUUUUCUGACCUUUUUGUUUUAAAGCAGGAG